UUGUAUUAUUUAUUCUACUCAAUGAAGCAACUUCGGAGAACUUCAUUGAGUAGAAUAAAUAAUACAAUCCUCGCCUUUUCUCAGUUAGAUCAUUAUAAUCACUUUCAUAAUCAACUUAAUGAACCCAAAAAAUAAGAAAAAGAAAACAUUGCAGAUUCAACUAACUGCUUCUAAAUCUACUUCUGCAUCUGUCUCUCCAUCUAUCAUCCCUGCCUCUACCUCCCCAUCAGCUUCUAAUUGGCCUGCCUCUUGACCAACAUCCGUGUCAGGGCUUUGCUUUUGAUGUUCUUCAGGUGUUGGAGUGCCACCUUGGGAGGUACUGACUGCUGUAGCCAUUGCAUCAGUGUCCAUUGGAGCAGCAGAGGCUUCAUCAGCUCUGACUCCUUCACCAUCAAUCUCACUUGCAGGUGUUGCAAUCUGAUUCUCUUCUGCUUGAUUUGAUGCACCCUUUGCCUCUUCCUUUUUGGCACGCUUAGUUCUGUCACUAGGUUUAGCUUGGUAUCUGGACCGGACAUCUGGUGGCAGUAGUUCUAGGGGAACAACUCCUUCAAUACCAUGGUCGGUAAAUCUGGAAAAUCCGUCCAAGUCCUGCCUAGCUGAAAAACGCAGACCUUUCCAGCAAUAUACCCGGUUAUUUUUGUGGUGAUAUUCAGCUUCUAUUCCAGCUGAUGGGUCCAUAUCUUCGGCCAAGGGUUUCCAAUAUUCUGUGAUGGCAGGAGUUCGAACGCGUUGAGGAUCAGUCAAAGCAUUCGGAUUCUGAUCUGCCCACUUCCACAGUUGGGAGAGUUCUUUAUUCCCGAGUCUCCACCUUGGCCUACGUUUUUUAUUUCCAUCUUGGACUGUUUUGUUCUCUAUUGGCUGCUUUUCAAAUGGAGGACAACCGUCUCGUUUCCACCAUACCCAAUUCUUUUCACGUUCAAGUAUAUGCUCAAUUUUUUGAAGAAACUCCUUUCCUUUAGGUGGAGUUGUUUCAAGUAAUUUCUUCACAUGCUCCUCACAAGUUUUUAUUUCUUCUUUCAUGCUUUCAGAUGUCAAAUCUUUGUCAUUCUUUCCAGGAGCCUUAAGAUAGUCAAACAAUAUAAGGCACUGCACAAGAACAUGGCGUCGAAAACUUGGAUCUUUUAACUCUAAACCCAUCAAUUUACUGCUUGUGAGAUAUUUUAUGUUAAAAGUUGCUGCCUCUUCCUCCAAGUUGUUAGCAUCUCCUUCUUCCUCGCUCAAAGGCUGAGCUUCAAAGGUAUUCAACACAACCAUCAAACUGGAUGUAAAUUUCUGCCACUUGGUUGGAGCAAGCGUUAGAGAAGCUGGGUUACAGAAGUGUUCCUGUAAACUCCAUAAAGUUUUAUAGAAGUUAAAGUCAACAGAAAUACCAGCAGGUGGGUCUUUCUCAUAUUUAGUCUCAUUUGAUGUGUUGAAAACUCCCUUUAUAUUCACAGCUGAACGUUCAGACAGUGGAAAAAAAUGUGCCAAAAACAUGAGAAUUCGUCCACAAAAUACAACAUCAUUAGCCUUUGAAAGACGACGAAGAAGUUGGUUACACGUUCUCAACAUCACAAGUUUUCCACGAGCAAAAAGUUCUUGCUUCCCAAGUAUGUCUUGCUUGCUCUCUAUAUAACCAAAAGUAUCUUUGCAAUUCCUCAUUGUAGACAUUUCUGUCAAAUCUUCCAACAACUGGAAUAUCAUACCGCCCUCAACAUGUUCUCUCUCACAAAGAUACAACACAACAUCUAAAAGACGAGGAAUCUGACCCUGAAAGUUUUCCCCAUCAUCAAUUGAUUGCCCAUACUGCAUUAUUUCCUCCCCUGACUGUACUGCAGAAGACACAAGCUCCUGUAGCAAUGUCCGAAGCAUAUUUUCUAACAAUUGAUUCUCGUCUUGGGCUAGUUUGGUUUGCCUCUGGGGUUUAAUGAAUUCUUGAACGGUCUGGAGAGCAAAGCUUUCAGGUGGUCCAGGCUGCAAUAUGGCCCUUCUAAAUUCUUCCAUUUUCAAGAUUCUACCACGCAGCAAACUCAAGCAAGCACGAAGCAAAGUCUCAAUAUCAACCUAUAAACAAUGCUUCAAUCUGCAAUUACGAAACUGCUGAAGCUGGGAAACUGCUGAAGCUGGGUACGUAAUCGAAGUAGACCCAGAAUCAAAAGGAACAAAGGGGAAG
rnacentral:misc_RNA from 1 species